CUAACGAGCCCAGCAUCAUCCUGGGCCCCUUACAAUAUUGACAUAGCUACACCCAGGACUCCCAGCACACAACCCUGCAGGACUUGCCAUAAGCAGAGGUAGCAUUUCUGGAUGAUCAUCUCGAUGAAUACCUGGACUUCUUUUUUUUCCUAUUUUUGUUUUAAAUUGUAUUUCUUUCUUUCUCCACCCCCCACAGUAUUACUGCUUAAUUUAUGACUACUGCACCCUCUAUCCUUAACUCUUGUUUAGUUAAAUGUUUGUUUUGCUAGUGUUAGUUAUUGCAGUCCAAGCCUCAUUCAUUUAUGAUGUACCCUAUUUAUGACUUUUACCUAUCUUAUCUCUGCCAUUCCCUCAUAUCCUUAAAUUUAAAAUCCCUUUCAUCUGCUUUUUCCUUGAUUUAGUUUUUAACACCCCAAAUGAUUCUCCACCCACAAUCUGCCUUAUCUAAACCCAGAUUCUCUUCUUUAUAGCCUGGGCCCCUUACAAUAUUGAAACAGC